AAGCAAGUAAUAUACACGACAAAAUAAAUUACAAUGUGAGUUAGACUUUGCCAAACAGCUAAUGCAGGUGAUUAUUGCCAUGAAAGUUGAGUCAAUGAAGGGAUCCCUGUGGUCUGGGGUGGAAGGGCUUUUGGGGAGGGAGUAGAAUUAGAGCUAGCUCUUGAUGAAGAAAUAACCUGGGGAAGGUAAGAUGGAGCAGGAACAGAUGGAGGUGAGUGUAGCUAAACAGCGUAGGCUUUGGAGUCCAAAAGACUGCAUCAAAUUCUGAACUGUCUUCACUAGCUGUGACUUUAGCUACUCUCUUAAAGUCUCUGAGCAGCAGCUUCCUCCUCUUAUAAUGGGGAUAUGCUCACCUUUCUUGAAAGCAUGUUGUUUGGAUUAGAGAUAAUAUAUGUAAAGUAGCACAAUAAUAAACACUCACAUUGUUGUUGGCAUUGCUGUGGAUUAGACACCGGGGUGGACCUGGUAUGGGCUGAGCCUUUGUGGAAGCACCAGGACUUGCCCAGCAAUUGCAAUCCUUAGGGCCUAGACUGCCUUUCAAGUUUACUUAGGACCCCAGAGCCCUUUACCAAAUGGUGGUGGCUUGCCAGAGGUCAAGUUCUGACCACUGGGAUGGGUAAUAUGCCUCUGGCUAGGGCUGAUGCAAAUGCUCCCUCCUUGGCCUCCAGCUGAGUUCUGCCUUGUGUUGUUUUCUGCUGUGACAGGGCAGCACUGAGCUCUAAUGCAAAGUCCCAUAAUCACUGCACUCUCCCUCCCACAAGUGCACAGACUCUCUGUGCUAUGCAGCCACAGCUAGGCGAUCAGAGAAGGGUGCUGUAGACAAUUUGAGACUAUUUUUCCUGCCCUCUUCAGUGCCUCUUUCCUUAAUGUGAUGUUAAAACCAGGUACUAUGAUUACUCACCUGAUUUUUGGUUGUAAUGAAGGUGUUUUUUGUGUGAAUAGUUGUUCGAUUUGGUGUUCCUGCAGGGAGGACAAUUUCUGGAGGCCUCUACUUGGCCAUAUUGCUCCCUAGUCUGUACUCCUUUUGCAUUGAGUUUUACAGGAUCCACCCAUUUCCAAAGUUACUUAGGUCAGCAAUUUUCUCCCAUUUCCUUCAUUGAGUUUUGUUCAUAAUACAGUUAGAUUAUUUUGUCACGUUCUUUAUUUCAUCUUGGGAUCAUCUAUCUGAGCUCCUAAAUGAUUUUUUUAAAUUUGCAUACUUUAGGUUCUAAGGGUUCUGACAAAUGCAAGGUGUCAUGUAUCAUGUCACUAUCAUUAUGGUAUUACACAAAAUAAUGUCACCAUCCUAAAAUGUCCUGUGAUUUACCUAUUCAAUCCUCCUUACUGAAUUCCUACCAACUUGUUUUUCAUCUCUGUAGUUUUACCUUU
rnacentral:lncRNA from 10 species